UAAGGAAUAUUGGUCAAUGGACGCAAGUCUGAACCAGCCAUGCCGCGUGAAGGAUGAAGGUCCUCUGGAUUGUAAACUUCUUUUAUCUGGGACGAAAACGGGAUUUUUAUCUCAAUUGACGGUACCAGAGGAAUAAGCACCGGCUAACUCCGUGCCAGCAGCCGCGGUAAUACGGAGGGUGCGAGAGUUAUCCGGAUUUACUGGGUUUAAAGGGUGCGUAGGUUGGCUUAUAAGUCAGUGGUGAAAUCUCCGAGCUUAACUUGGAAACUGCCGUUGAUACUAUAGGUCUUGAAUUAUCUGGAGGUAAGCGGAAUAUGUCAUGUAGCGGUGAAAUGCUUAGAUAUGACAUAGAACACCAAUUGCGAAAGCAGCUUACUACAUAUAAAUUGACGCUGAGGCACGAAAGCGUGAGGAUCAAACA
rnacentral:rRNA from 1 species